rnacentral:rRNA from 1 species
AGGACGAACGCUGGCGGCGUGCUUAACACAUGCAAGUCGAGCGGAAAGGCCCUUCGGGGUACUCGAGCGGCGAACGGGUGAGUAACACGUGAGUAACCUGCCCCUAGCUCUGGGAUAGCUCCGGGAAACCGGGAUUAAAUACCAGAUACGACCACUUUAGACAUCUUUUGUGGUGGAAAGGAUUCCGGCUAGGGAUGGGCUCGCGGCCUAUCAGCUUGUUGGUGGGUAACGCCUACCAAGGCGACGACGGGUAG